CUGGCCUGGAGCUAACUAUGUAGACUGG
rnacentral:piRNA from 1 species